GAGAAGAAAGAAGCUCCAUGAGGUGUAUUGCCUUCCCUUUAUCCUUUGUUGGCAUUACAUUUACAGUCAUUACUCAUUAUUAGUCUUUCCACCUCAUGCUAGAUGCAUAAAAAAGUAGAAAGCAAGCAAUUCAUGGGGGAUGAAUUCUGUGUGUUUAUUAUGUUGACGUACGAAAAUGACAGAUCCUAUGUUACACUAAUUAAAAAAAAAGUUUUACCGGUUAGUUAUGGAUGCAUGUUUGAAGUAUUUCUCAGAAAAUCAACAAUGUUAAGUGAUGGCAAUCAUUUACUGUCACACUUUGCAACAAAUUACUUCUUAAUAUCUGGAUAUGCAGUAGAAAUCACAUGAUUGGAUGAUUGCAAGUUUGCUAUGUCUCCAUGGCAAUCUGAAAGUCAUAUGCAGUUUCUGGUGAAUUCUGUCCUUUUGAUUGUGUAUAUGAUCUCUAGGGUACAAAUUUUUGGUAUCAUUGAUGUGCAACUGAAUUAGCUCAUGCAUGGGUAAUAUAAAUUGAUUAUGAAUCCACAUGCUCAACUCAACUCAACUCAAC
rnacentral:misc_RNA from 1 species